rnacentral:rRNA from 1 species
GAUGAACGCUGGCGGCGUGCCUAAUACAUGCAAGUCGAGCGAACAGAUGAGGAGCUUGCUCCUCUGACGUUAGCGGCGGACGGGUGAGUAACACGUGGAUAACCUACCUAUAAGACUGGGAUAACUUCGGGAAACCUGAGCUAAUACCGGAUAAUAUAUUGAACCGCAUGGUUCAAUAGUGAAAGACGGUUUUGCUGUCACUUAUAGGUGGAUCCGCGCCGCAUUAGCUAGUUGGUAAGGUAACGGCUUACCAAGGCAACGAUGCGUAGCCGACCUGAGAGGGUGAUCGGCCACACUGGAACUGAGACACGGUCCAGACUCCUACGGGAGGCAGCAGUAGGGAAUCUUCCGCAAUGGGCGAAAGCCUGACGGAGCAACGCCGCGUGAGUGAUGAAGGUCUUCGGAUCGUAAAACUCUGUUAUUAGGGAAGAACAAAUGUGUAAGUAACUAUGCACGUCUUGACGGUACCUAAUCAGAAAGCCACGGCUAACUACGUG